GAGAUAUCAGAAGACUGAAGGAGUUGUGAUGGAUGUACUGUAUGAGAAAAUGGAAGUGCUGGAAAUAAACUUGGGGAAAUCAUAAAAUCGUAGGAGGUGGUUAGAUGAGUUCAUUGCUUUCCUCAGUGCAUGAAUUUCUAUGGCCAGUCACAGGAAAAGGCUUUCCUUAGGAACAUUUCUGCGGUGCAAGUUUCCGCUGUCAGUGCUCCAAGCCCAACUGUGACCACAUUGCUGCAGCUGGCGCUGGGCUGGAUAUGAUCACCCCAAAACUUCAGAGAAACAGAGUCCAUUUAGAGGGGACUUUCAGCUGCAGUUACAGUGCUGAGGAAAUGCCUGCUUCUUAAAGACGUACAGUGGUAUGUAGCUCCAAGCCAGCGCCCUGAUUGCUGUUACUCACACUGCAAUAUUGGACUCUGUGCCCUCCUUCUCUUCCUAAAAGGGCUACUCCUAGUCCUCACGAGACAGUGCAGUCUGGGAAGGCGACUGAGAAAUAAAAGAUCCUCUGCUAAUCCCAAAAGAAAACAAACACUGCAGACAAACGCAUGGCAUACAUUUAUAUUCUCUGCAUUUUUCCCACGUUUACCCGUCUACCAGCAGAAGAGUUCUACCAGUUUCACGAAAGUUCAGGUACAAUUCCACUGUUGUGACCUACUGUUCAUUCACACAUUCCUCUCUUUUACUUUAUCUGGAAGUCAAUCUGCAGCGCAGCAGCAUUGCCUUCUCAGUAUCAACAGUGGAAGGAGAUGUGACUCAGGUAAAAGGGAGAAGGUUCAACCUCCCACUGCUCAGUCAACCCAGGAUCAAGCAGGAAGCAGUACAGUAAACAAAAAUUGCCUGGAUUGAAAAGGACCAUAAUGAUCAUGGAGUUUCAACCCCCUCAUUUUCUCAAGAAGUAUUUCUAGGUUUCUCAGUGGUUCCUCUCAGCCAAGAUGGCAGCGCCUCUGGGAGGAGCAGCGGAGAGGAACAAGUACAUACUGAUCAUGGCCUCCCAUUCCCCACCCUUCAGCAGAGUGGUAAAGGUAUUGGGACAGGGAGGAGGAAGGAUAUAGCCCCUGUUCUUCAUGGAAGUCUAUAAUCUUCACUAUAUCAUCCUAGAAUGGCAACACAAUAAACCAGAUCUCUGGAGUGCAUUUCAACAACAUCCUACCAGAGAUGAUCAGGGACCCCAGAAGAAGUGGUGCUC
ensembl:lncRNA